rnacentral:rRNA from 1 species
CUGCUCCUACGGGAGGCAGCAGUGGGGAAUAUUGCACAAUGGGGGAAACCCUGAUGCAGCAACGCCGCGUGAGUGAUGACGGCCUUCGGGUUGUAAAGCUCUGUCUUCAGGGACGAUAAUGACGGUACCUGAGGAGGAAGCCACGGCUAACUACGUGCCAGCAGCCGCGGUAAUACGUAGGUGGCGAGCGUUGUCCGGAUUUACUGGGCGUAAAGGGAGAGUAGGCGGACUUUUAAGUGAGAUGUGAAAUACUCGGGCUCAACUGGAGUGCUGCAUUUCAAACUGGUAGUCUAGAGUGCAGGAGG